AUACAGAGGGUGCGAGCGUUAAUCGGAAUUACUGGGCGUAAAGCGCGCGUAGGCGGCUACUUAAGUCAGAUGUGAAAUCCCCGGGCUCAACCUGGGAACUGCAUCUGAUACUGGGUAGCUAGAGUUUAGGAGAGGGAAGUAGAAUUUCAGGUGUAGCGGUGAAAUGCAUAGAGAUCUGAAGGAAUACCAGUGGCGAAGGCGGCUUCCUGGCCUAAAACUGACGCUGAGGUGCGAAAGCGUGGGUAGCAAACGGGAUUAGAAACCCCGGUAGUCC
rnacentral:rRNA from 1 species